UAAAGCUGUAACAGUUUAGCCUGUGUUCACUGAGGGAAGAAUUUAAGUUAACCUCUGUAGUGACCAUGUGGAAAUCCUGACCUUGCUUGCAGAAUUGACCUCUGGAUAUGACAAGGAGAGAUUCCGUGUUCACUGACUUCCCUCUUACUUCACCUCACCGGCUCAGGAAAAGAAGUGCUGAAUCAGCGGAUAGAGUGAAGGAACAAUCAAGAUGAGAUGGCUGCUGCUGAUGUGACUCUCUAGGAUCUAGAACCAGACCACAAAAUAAGAAGAAAUUCAUCCUGAAAACUCCGAAGAAACACUAGGUUGAUCUUACCAAUUUCUGAAUACACUCCCUAAAACUUCACCGACUCUGAAUCUCUUGCCAAAAGGACCAAACCAGGACAAAGUUCAACAGAUAACUGGUCAGUGUUUAGAAGUGUAUGUCCACCAACAAGGAACCAUCAUAAAUAGCAUUAAUGCAAUACUUCAGGUGUUACCUGAAGACUGGGAUGACAGCCAAAAUCCAAUAAAGUCUUCACAACCUGAAGAUGACCUUUA